rnacentral:misc_RNA from 1 species
UGGUAAUUUUCCCUUUUUUUUUUAAGUGCUUGCAAGCUUCUAAGAAUAUGUAUACAUAUACACCCUGAAGAAAAAAAUCUGUAGCAAUAAAGCAAGGACUGGGCACGAUAGCAUGACAAAAAGGGCAUAAAAUCUGCUAAAAUUUUCGAAUACCUACAACUACAAGGGAAAACCAUCAAAAGAAAAAUUAAAAAACAAAAGACUGCAACACCGAGAUCUUGUAGCUCUUGUAGCCCAUCAUCCAGCUUGGGCGAUCCCCAUAAUUUUCAUUCUUCGGGGGCUGCACUGGCAGCACUCAGAUCCACUGACAGGUCAAGUGUCUUUCCAGUUAUCUUGCUGUACAUUUUAAUCACAUCUUGCACUGUGGUCUCAAAAUGUGUGGUUGCAUCAUAACUUGUGGAUAUGAAACAGUUGUCAUCCUCGUGGUGGUUAGUGGGCUCGUAUCUGUCGUAAGUGUCAAAAAAUAUUUCGUCUACAGGUCCAAGGAGAUCUAUGCCUGGCUUCAACUCCGUUUGAGGAUCAUCAGUCUCUGCUUCUGUUGUAACAAAAGCAAUGUAUUUCCCUUUUGGAGCUACAUUGUGAGUAUAAGAGCAGCAGAAUAGGUACAUAUCUGAUUUUCGCUUGAGUUGUUUCUGGGGCAGAAUAACCUGGACUGAGUGAGAAUCAUUUGUAUUUGGGAUUGGAUGACUCAUAAUACAUAUAGCACGAGCUACUUUCCCAAUUUUUUUUACCUUGUCAGGCAAAUAUGAAGGAUCGCAUACAACUUUUUUGCAUUUUGCAGUUUCUCCUUCUGAUGUUACUCCAUAGGCCUUUCCAUCCGCAUCAAACUCUACCUUGCAUUCUGGCUUGCAAAGCAUGUAGGUGCCACCAUAAACAGCGCUCAAACGAGCAAAUGCCUGGGGUAGCUCUCCUAGUCCAUAGAGGGGAUAAAUGUAGGGAGAUCCUCCCCGAAAGCGUGCUAAAGACUCUGCAUAUAGCUUCAUCCUCUUCACAAAAUCCAGAGCAGGCUCAUCCAAGUAAUUUUCAUCCAAAUAAAGUGCCAAUGCAUGCCCUAUGAAAUCAACUGUGUUAUCAUCCAGCCCAUAUUUCGAUAUAACAUCUCUAGCUUUAACCUUGUUGAGGUCCAGUCCUUCAUGAGACUUGGGAUCAUUCUCAUUAUAGUCUUGAACAUAAAUGAAAAACUUUCGAGCACGACGCUUCUCAAACAAUCCCAUAAGUGGGGAUUUUAAUGCUUCCACAUCAUUAGCUGGUACUUUGUGU